UGGGGAAUUUUGGACAAUGGGCGAAAGCCUGAUCCAGCAAUGCCGCGUGUGUGAAGAAGGCCUUCGGGUUGUAAAGCACUUUUGUCCGGAAAGAAAUCCUUGGCUCUAAUACAGUCGGGGGAUGACGGUACCGGAAGAAUAAGCACCGGCUAACUACGUGCCAGCAGCCGCGGUAAUACGUAGGGUGCAAGCGUUAAUCGGAAUUACUGGGCGUAAAGCGUGCGCAGGCGGUUUGCUAAGACCGAUGUGAAAUCCCCGGGCUCAACCUGGGAACUGCAUUGGUGACUGGCAGGCUAGAGUAUGGCAGAGGGGGGUAGAAUUCCACGUGUAGCAGUGAAAUGCGUAGAGAUGUGGAGGAAUACCGAUGGCGAAGGCAGCCCCCUGGGCCAAUACUGACGCUCAUGCACGAAAGCGUGGGGAGCAAAACAGGAUUAGAUACCCUGGUAGUCCACGCCCUAAACGAUGUCAACUAGUUGUUGGGGAUUCAUUUCCUUAGUAACGUAGCUAACGCGUGAAGUUGACCGCCUGGGGAGUACGGUCGCAAGAUUAAAACUCAAAGGAAUUGACGGGGUCAAGCUGUUUCCU
rnacentral:rRNA from 1 species